GAUGAACGCUGGCGAUGUGGAUAAGGCAUGCAAGUCGAGGGCCGCAGCAAUGCGGCCCGGCAAACGAGGUAGUAACACGUGGGAAUCUCCCCCUAAGACAGGGAUAUCCCGCCGAAAGGCGGAGCAAUACCUGAUAGUCUCUACGGAGUAAAGUCGCAAGACGCUUAGGGAAGAGCCUGCGGAGUAUCAGCUAGUUGGUAGGGUAAUGGCCUACCAAGGCGACGACGGGUAGCCGGUCUGAGAGGAUGUACGGCCACACUGGGACUGAGAUACGGCCCAGACUCCUACGGGAGGCAGCAGUUGGGAAUCUUAGGCAAUGGACGAAAGUCUGACCUAGCGACGCCGCGUGAGGGAAGAAGGCCUUCGGGUUGUAAACCUCUGUCAGUGGGGGAAGAAGGAAGUGACGGUACCCCAAGAGGAAGCCCCUGCCUAACUACGUG
rnacentral:rRNA from 1 species